AUGGAGGGACCGGAUCCGGAGGCGGCAGCUCAACCAUUCCAGUUUUUGUGGUCCCUUCGAUUAAAAGGACAUCUUUGCUGUGGGAUGUGCCACCGAAAAAGGAUGGAGUGUGAUCUGCAUUGUUACAUACUGACCCAGGUGUCAGCCUUCCCUCUAAAAACAAGAACUUGGGAGAACGGCCUGCUUCAUUAUACUGAUUCACUUAAAUUAUGAAACUAACAUCUGGGUACUGUGAUACGAUGUCUGCAUGGAUUUAAUAUGAAACAAUGAUGUGUUAAUAAAUGUUUAAUCCAAGCUUGACAUUCAGCAGGCUGGUUUUGACUUCUUUGGCCUAUGUGUCAGAGGAAGGAGGGAUUCUGACCUGAUGUAUUAGUGUCAGAGUGAGUUAGAAAUAGCAGCAGGAUCCAGCUCAGGGAACCCUCGAGCAUGUCUGAAGGCAGAGAAUUAGAGGCCAUGGAAAGGGAGAAAGAGUGGAGACAGUGAAGAAGGAAGGAACAAUGGAGAAGCCUUCACUGCAAACACCAGCCUGCAAGGCUCAUCCUGGGUGUUUAUCAGUUGCUAGGAUCUGUGUUGGAUAAUUUUUUGGUCCUCUUUUUCUGAGGCCUUUCUUACAAGUUAGCAUCCUCUCUAACUUGGUGACCCUAGGAGACCCUAGCAUUGUUGCCCCUUGGGGUUAUUCUAUCAUUGAGAAAAAAAAAAAAAAACAGCAAANNNCUCUUUUUUCCUUAAAUACAACAAGCAACCUUGAAUGGCAGUAAGAGGUACACAUGGUACAACUCACCCCUUUCAUGCCUGUGCAGACAUUGCUAAUCAACCACAACUUUCUCUUUUUUUUUUCCCAAGGAGGCUAUGCCCAGUCUUAGAAUCCUUUCCAAUAUAAUGCUGCUAUUUGUAAUCAGUUAGACUUGCCACAACAGUUGAAAUGUGAAUUUGUUUUUUCUACUGCUUCACAACAAAUUAUCACAAGCUUAUUGUCUGAAAACAACAUACAUUUAUUAUCUCACAGUUUCCAUGAGUCAGGAGAUUGGUUAUGAAUUAGCUGGGUCUUUUCCUCAGGGUCUCCCAAUGCUGCAGUCAGGGUGUUAGCCAAGAUCACAGUCUCUUCUGAGACUCCAGGUCUUCCUCUGAGUUCAGUGGUUGUUUGCAGAAUUCAGUUCCCUAUGGUUUUAGGACUGAGGGAUGAGCAAAGCCUCAUCCGUUGUUCCCUAAAGGCUACCCACUAUUCCCUGCCACAGGGCCCUCUCCACAACUUGGCAGUUCUGUUUCCUCAAGGCCAACUAGAGAGUGUCUGUUGCUGUCUGUAAUCUCGCCGUCAAAGGGAUCAUCUGAUUAGGCCAGGCCCACCCAGGGCAAAAUCAACUGAUCUGGGACCUUAAUUACAUGUGUAAAUUUUUAAAUCUUUGCCAUAUACUGAAACCUAAUCAUGGAAGUAAAACUUCAUCAUAUUCACAAGCCUUGCCCAUACUCCACAUAAGGAAAUUAUACAGAGCAUGUACACCAGGGGCAGGAAUCAUGGGACAAUAUUAGAAUUCUGCUUACUACAAAACCAUUUGUCACCCUUGCAAUAGAACUUUGAUUUUGAGCUUCUGGAAAACUUUGUUUUUCUUUUUCACUUUUUGCUCUGUAAAUUUUUCAGAUGUUCAGGAAAGUAGAGAAAAUAAUAUAAUGAAUCUCAUAUACCCAUCAUCUAAUUUAACAGUUAUUAAAAAGCAGAGACAUUAC
rnacentral:lncRNA from 1 species